rnacentral:misc_RNA from 1 species
GAUGAAGAACGCAGCGAAAUGCGAUAAGUAAUGUGAAUUGCAGAAUUCAGUGAAUCAUCGAAUCUUUGAACGCACAUUGCGCCCGCCAGUAUUCUGGCGGGCAUGCCUGUUCGAGCGUCAUUUCAACCAUCAAGCCCCCGGCUUGUGUUGGGGACCUGCGGCUGCCGCAGGCCCUGAAAACCAGUGGCGGGCUCACUAGUCACUCCGAGCGUAGUAAUACAUCUCGCUCAGGGCGUGCUGCGGGUUCCGGCCGUUAAAAGCCUUAUUUUACCCAAGGUUGACCUCGGAUCAGGUAGGAAGACCCGCUGAACUUAAGCAUAUCAAUAAGCGGAGGA